rnacentral:rRNA from 1 species
UACGUAGGGACCAAGCGUUGUUCGGAUUUACUGGGCGUAAAGGGCGCGUAGGCGGCGUGUUAAGUCAGCUGUGAAAUCUCCAGGCUCAACCUGGAGGGGUCAUUCGAUACUGCCGUGACUAGAGGUCGGUAGGGGAGUGUGGAAUUCCUGGUGGAGCGGUGAAAUGCGCAGAUAUCAGGAGGAACACCAAUAGCGAAGGCAGCUCGCUGGGACGGUACUGACGCUAAGGCGCGAAAGCGUGGGGAGCAAACAGG